UGAUCCUCCUGCCUAUGCCUCUGGAGUAGCUGGGGCUACAGCACUUUGUUCUACGCUCCAGCCCCUGUAGGAAAUGAGGGUAUCUAAGAGACUGCUUCGGCAUUCAGUGAGCGCACAGGUUAGCAGGCUGUUAAGAUGAGAAGGACCUGCUGUGUUUCACAUCAGACGCCACAUCAAAAACACUAAAAGCAACGUGGAAUGGAAUUCAGACAGGUCAGUGUUUGCGGGUGGAGAGAGGGAACAUGCAGGAAGAGGUCGCCAGGACUGG